rnacentral:misc_RNA from 1 species
CUCGGAUGCCUGCCUGACAGAUUC